GCCUCCUUAGCUCAGCUGGCCAGAGCAGCCGCCUUGUAAGCGGCAGGUCAAGGGUUCGAAUCCCUUAGGGGGCUCCA
rnacentral:tRNA from 1 species